rnacentral:rRNA from 1 species
GACGAACGCUGGCGGCGUGCCUAAUACAUGCAAGUAGAACGCUGAAGAGAGGAGCUUGCUCUUCUUGGAUGAGUUGCGAACGGGUGAGUAACGCGUAGGUAACCUGCCUUGUAGCGGGGGAUAACUAUUGGAAACGAUAGCUAAUACCGCAUAACAAUGGAUGACACAUGUCAUUUAUUUGAAAGGGGCAAUUGCUCCACUACAAGAUGGACCUGCGUUGUAUUAGCUAGUAGGUGAGGUAACGGCUCACCUAGGCGACGAUACAUAGCCGACCUGAGAGGGUGAUCGGCCACACUGGGACUGAGACACGGCCCAGACUCCUACGGGAGGCAGCAGUAGGGAAUCUUCGGCAAUGGGGGCAACCCUGACCGAGCAACGCCGCGUGAGUGAAGAAGGUUUUCGGAUCGUAAAGCUCUGUUGUAAGUCAAGAACGAGUGUGAGAGUGGAAAGUUCACACUGUGACGGUAGCUUACCAGAAAGGGACGGCUAACUACGUGCCAGCAGCCGCGGUAAUACGUAGGUCCCGAGCGUUGUCCGGAUUUAUUGGGCGUAAAGCGAGCGCAGGCGGUUUGAUAAGUCUGAAGUUAAAGGCUGUGGCUCAACCAUAGUUCGCUUUGGAAACUGUCAAACUUGAGUGCAGAAGGGGAGAGUGGAAUUCCAUGUGUAGCGGUGAAAUGCGUAGAUAUAUGGAGGAACACCGGUGGCGAAAGCGGCUCUCUGGUCUGUAACUGACGCUGAGGCUCGAAAGCGUGGGGAGCGAACAGGAUUAGAUACCCUGGUAGUCCACGCCGUAAACGAUGAGUGCUAGGUGUUGGAUCCUUUCCGGGAUUCAGUGCCGCAGCUAACGCAUUAAGCACUCCGCCUGGGGAGUACGACCGCGAGGUUGAAACUCAAAGGAAUUGACGGGGGCCCACACAAGCGGUGGAGCAUGUGGUUUAAUUCGAAGCAACGCGAAGAACCUUACCAGGUCUUGACAUCCCGAUGCUAUUUCUAGAGAUAGAAAGUUACUUCGGUACAUCGGUGACAGGUGGUGCAUGGUUGUCGUCAGCUCGUGUCGUGAGAUGUUGGGUUAAGUCCCGCAACGAGCGCAACCCCUAUUGUUAGUUGCCAUCAUUCAGUUGGGCACUCUAGCGAGACUGCCGGUAAUAAACCGGAGGAAGGUGGGGAUGACGUCAAAUCAUCAUGCCCCUUAUGACCUGGGCUACACACGUGCUACAAUGGUUGGUACAACGAGUUGCGAGUCGGUGACGGCAAGCUAAUCUCUUAAAGCCAAUCUCAGUUCGGAUUGUAGGCUGCAACUCGCCUACAUGAAGUCGGAAUCGCUAGUAAUCGCGGAUCAGCACGCCGCGGUGAAUACGUUCCCGGGCCU